GACGUAGAAAUCUUGUCCCAUACUCAAAAAUGGGAUUGUUGUACAAGAGAAUUGACUUGUUCAAUUUAAGUGGACGAAUAAUACGGAAGUGAAAAACGUGCCGGAUUCGGAGGAUUUGCAGAAUGCCUUGGCAAUUCUUUAUCGGAAAACGCAACAACUGGUGGUGAAGUUGGUUUAGCUCGUAAAUGUAUUGAAUCAAUCCUAUCUGGGAAGAGUCAUUUGCUGCUGAAGAAUGAAAAUCACGACAAUCGUAAAUCCACAAAGCAAACAAAAUCACCUGACAUUUUUCUCCCUGGUAGAUCUUCAUGUCAAGACUUGGAGUAUAUAUGUGUGAAGGAUAAUUGGAGGCUGCCGAAAUAUUUUGUGGCGCCAUCAAAUGGUCACACGAUAAAUUUUGUUCCUUCUCAAAAAAAUAAGCUGAUGAAUUGGUGUGAUAUAUAUUAUAUCGAUUUU